rnacentral:tRNA from 1 species
GCCUUUGUAGUAUAACUAUUAUUCUGGUCUUGUAAACCAGAGAUGGAGACUCACAUCUCCCAAAGACA